CGGACGGAGCUGACGUGUGGGUGAGUGAUCCGGCGCCUGUCGCGUGCGAGUGCUGCAGGGACGUGUCGGCGGCAUCCGGCCCGUGGUCCACGCGUCACUGCCAGACUCCUGCCGCCGGGUAAAGAAGAGGAACGCCUCCCCCGGUGUCCGUGGACGGCGCCGCCGUCGCUGGCCAGUCUCCAGUAGAGAGCCGAGUCUGAUGGCCGCGGCCGGGCGCAGCAGGCAGCGGCAGCUGGCCGCCUCGGCAGACAUCCGGCUCCCCCUCUGAGAGACAUGCACGCCACCGACAAUGGCACAGAGCCCGGGGCGCUGGAGCAGCAACAGCAGCAGCAGCAGCAGCAGCAGGCGGCGGCCGGGGGCGGAACGGGGGCGGCGGGCGCAGUGGCCGGCGUGGCAGUUGGCGUGGG